AUACAUGUUGUAGAUAAUUUAUG
rnacentral:piRNA from 1 species